GCGGGCGGCCCCGGCUCCCUGCAGGUACUUGCUGCUCAGAACACACCAGCUGUCCCUGGACGCCUUCCUCGUGGCCCUGAAGUUCAUGCAGGUGGAGGACGUGGACAUCGACGAAGUGCAGUGCAUCCUGGCCAACCUCAUCUACAUGGGUCACAUCAAGGGCUACAUCUCCCACCAACACCAGAAGCUGGUUGUCAGCAAGCAGAACCCCUUCCCGCCGCUGUCCACCGUGUGCUGAGUGUCCGCCGCCCAGCGCCCCGCCCCGCGGCCAGUGUGGCCUCCCACUGCCCGCAGACGGAGCGAGGGAGGCAGCGGGUCUGGGCCUGUGCCCCGGUGCCACCUUUGUCCCUGCCCAGCAUUUUCUAUUAAAAGGCUCUGACCACCUG